rnacentral:rRNA from 1 species
CGCGGCCUACGGGGGGCAGCAGUGAGGGAUAUUGGUCAAUGGGCGGAAGCCUGAACCAGCCAAGUCGCGUGAGGGAAUAAGGCCCUACGGGUCGUAAACCUCUUUUGCCGGGGAGCAAGGGCGGGGACGUGUCCCGGCCCGGAGAGUACCCGGAGAAAAAGCAUCGGCUAACUACGUGCCAGCAGCCGCGGUAAUACGUAGGGGGCAAGCGUUAUCCGGAUUUACUGGGUGUAAAGGGAGCGUAGACGGCUGUACAAGUCUGAAGUGAAAGCCCGUGGCUCAACCGCGGAACUGCUUUGGAAACU